rnacentral:rRNA from 1 species
UACAUAGGGGGCAAGCGUUGUCCGGAUUUACUGGGCGUAAAGAGCUCGUAGGCGGUUUACCAAGUCAGAAGUGAAAUCUCCGUGCUCAACACGGAGCGGCCUUUUGAAACUGGUAUGACUUGAGUAUGGUAGAGGAGUGUGGAAUUCCCGGUGUAGCGGUGAAAUGCGCAGAUAUCGGGAGGAACACCUAUGGCGAAGGCAGCACUCUGGGCCAAAACUGACGCUGAGGAGCGAAAGCGUGGGGAGCGAACAGG